rnacentral:rRNA from 1 species
UACGGGGGGGCAAGCGUUGUUCGGAAUUACUGGGCGUAAAGGGCUCGUAGGCGGCCAACUAAGUCAGACGUGAAAUCCCUCGGCUUAACCUGGGAACUGCAUUUGUGACUGCAUGGCUAGAGUUUGGCAGAGGGGGUAGAAUCCACGUGUAGCAGUGAAAUGCGUAGAUAUGUGGAGGAACACCGAUGGCGAAGGCAGCCCCUGGGUCAAGACUGACGCUCAU